rnacentral:rRNA from 1 species
CGUGAACGCUGGCGGUAGGCCUAACACAUGCAAGUCGAACGGCAGCACAGGAGAGCUUGCUCUCUAGGUGGCGAGUGGCGGACGGGUGAGGAAUACAUCGGAAUCUGCCCAGUCGUGGGGGAUAACGUAGGGAAACUUACGCUAAUACCGCAUACGACCUUCGGGUGAAAGAGGGGGAUCGCAAGACCUCUCGCGAUUGGAUGAGCCGAUGUCGGAUUAGCUAGUUAGCGGGGUAAUGGCCCACCAAGGCGACGAUCCGUAGCUGGUCUGAGAGGAUGAUCAGCCACACUGGAACUGAGACACGGUCCAGACUCCUACGGGAGGCAGCAGUGGGGAAUAUUGGACAAUGGGCGCAAGCCUGAUCCAGCCAUACCGCGUGGGUGAAGAAGGCCUUCGGGUUGUAAAGCCCUUUUGUUGGGAAAGAAAUCUUUCAGGCUAAUACCCUGGGAGGAUGACGGUACCCAAAGAAUAAGCACCGGCUAACUUCGUG